UACGUAGGGUGCAAGCGUUAUUCGGAAUUACUGGGCGUAAAGCGUGCGUAGGCGGUUAUGUAAGUCAGGUGUGAAAGCCCCGGGCUCAACCUGGGAAUGGCAUUUGAGACUGCAUAGCUAGGGUGCGGAAGAGGGAAGCGGAAUUUCCGGUGUAGCGGUGAAAUGCGUAGAUAUCGGAAGGAACAUCAGUGGCGAAGGCGGCUUCCUGGUCCAGCACCGACGUUCAGGCACGAAAGCGUGGGGAGCAAACAGG
rnacentral:rRNA from 1 species